UCUGUUUUCCUAGUGGAGAUAGAAAGUGCAGUCCUGCUCCCCAUUAUGUAUGGAGGCAGAGCGAAAGGCUCAGGCCCCCUAGGCAUUAUGUCUUCAGUGCCAGCAUCUUCUUGUACCCUGGUUCUAACUUCAAUUGCCAGGAUACCA